rnacentral:rRNA from 1 species
CGGACGGGUGAGUAACGCGUGGGUAACCUGCCCUGUACUGGGGGACAACAGUUAGAAAUGACUGCUAAUACCGCAUAAGCGCACAGUAUCGCAUGAUACAGUGUGAAAAACUCCGGUGGUACAAGAUGGACCCGCGUCUGAUUAGCUAGUUGGUAAGGUAACGGCUUACCAAGGCGACGAUCAGUAGCCGACCUGAGAGGGUGACCGGCCACAUUGGGACUGAGACACGGCCCAA